GGGAACAUCUGGGGCUGGGUGGGAUGUCGGGCCACAGCCCCUGACCUGUGAGGACGUGGCAGCUUUGGGCUCUAUGGGCUCUGGUUUUGCAUCAUCAGCAAAGAUGACAUUGUGUCCUCUGCAAGGAGAGGGGCGAAGGGGCUCACAUCUGUUUUGGAAACCAUUCAGCGCAGGAAAACGACCCACAUGCAGAAGUAAUGUGGUUUUGAUUGUACUGUGCUCUAUAGAAAGUAGUGCACACAUAUUAAACUAUAUUAGACAGUAUAAUAAUAGCUUGCAGUUUGUCUGCCUUUCAUCUGGACGUGCCUCGCGGACGUCACGUGGAUGCAGAGCCCUCUUUCACUGCUGCUGAGCUGCAGCCGCCCCGCGCAUCCCUGCAGUGUGUGCAGCACAGCGCGUCCCAGAGGUGCUGACCAGGAUGCAGGAUUCCCUGGGAUCCAAAGAUCCCCAUCCUGCUGUGCCCCAGAUCUGAUGUGUAAGGAGCAGGAAAAUCUAAACACAAACGAGGAGUGCAGGAGGCACCGGCGCGAUGCGUGAUUUUAAGCUGCUGCAGCGCUGCGUUAGGAGUGGUUUCGACGCAUCGGGUGCGAUGGGCACCGGCAAAGCAGGGAACGCUGCUCCAGGAGCACAUCCAGAGCGGGCAGCUUUGUACAAACAAGGAGAUGAGAGGCAGAGGGAGGGCUCAGGGCUGGAACACCGCUGUAAACACAGUGUGCUUUGGCUCGGAGUCGGGUGAGCCCCUGCGACGGCGGCGGAGCUGCAGGGAGGUGUGCGCCCGCGUGCCAGCGCCGAGCGGAGCUUUCACAAUAAAUGAUUAAAGCAUGGUUCAGAUCCCGUCAAAUGGAACGGUGCUAAUCUAAUCACAAUCCAUCUGGCACUGCCACAUCUGUCCCAACACCUCCACCUCUUCAUUUUCAAUCAGCCUUAAAUAGUACAUAAUUAUUAAUGUCUACCCGGCUGUCAGGCGGCGCGGGGGAUUCACUUAUCUCUCCCAUCGGCUCAGGAAGGGAUCGGGGAUCGGGGAUGGAGGGCUGGGAGCCCUCAG
rnacentral:lncRNA from 1 species